rnacentral:rRNA from 1 species
GGGAGGCAGCUCUCUCUUAUGAGGGACCACUGGGGAAAAUUUUGUCCAGUGGGGGAACCCUAGACAAAGAAGUCGCGUGAGUGAGGAAAGUUUUUUGGUGAUAAAUAAAAGUCUUUUGGGGGGACAGAAGAAGCGGUUCCCAUUAAGGAAGCCCCGGCUAAAUACGUGCCAGCAGCCGCGGUAAUACGUAGGGGGCCAGCGUUGUCCGGAAUUACUGGGCGUAAAGGGGGCGUAGGCGGCAUUUUAAGUCAUAUGUGAAAACCCAGGGCUUAACUGUGGGGGAGCAUAUGAAACUGGGGGGCUUGAGUGCAGGAGAGGAAAGCGGGAAUCCCCGUGUGUAGCGGAAAUCCCCUAGAUCGGGUGAGGAACACCGGGGGAAAGCGGGUCUUCUGGGGGUAAUCGACGCUGUGGCGCGAAAAAGUGGGGGGCGAACACGGUUUGAUACCCCGGGUGUUCCCACCCUAAAAGAAGGAUAAUAGGGUAGGGGGUUGCACCCCUUCUGUGCCGCAGUAACGC